rnacentral:rRNA from 1 species
CCUACGGGUGGCAGCAGUGAGGAAUAUUGGUCAAUGGCCGGAAGGCUGAACCAGCCAUGCCGCGUGAAGGUCAGUGCCCUAUGGGCGUUAAACUUCUUUUGUGCGGGAGCAAUAAUGGUCACGUGUGGCCAGACGAGAGUACCGUACGAAUAAGCAUCGGCUUACUCCGUGCCAGCAGCCGCGGUAAUACGGGGGAUGCAAGCGUUAUCCGGAUGUAUUGGGUUUAAAGGGUUCGGAGGCUGGGAGGUAAGUCAGCGGUGAAAUGCCCCCGCUCAACGGGGUGAAGUGCCAUUGAUACUGCCUGGCUGGAGUGCGGAUGCCGUGGGAGGAAUGUGUGGUGUAGCGGUGAAAUGCAUAGAUAUCACACAGAACACCGAUUGCGAAGGCAUCUCACGAAUCCGCGAUUGACGCUGAUGCACGAAAGCGUGGGUAUCAAACAGGAUUAGAUACCCCUGUAGUC